rnacentral:rRNA from 1 species
AGGACGAACGCUGGCGGCGUGCUUAACACAUGCAAGUCGAGCGGUAAGGCCUUUUUCGGGGGUUACGACGAGCGGCGAACGGGUGAGUAACACGUGGGUGACCUGCCCUCAGCUCUGGGACAAGCCUGGGAAACCGGGUCUAAUACUGGAUAUGACUCCAUGACGCAUGUUGUGGGGUGGAAAGCCUUGUGCGGCUGAGGAUGGGCCCGCGGCCUAUCAGCUUGUUGGUGGGGUGAGGCCUACCAAGGCGACGACGGGUAGCCGGCCUGAGAGGCGACCGGCCACACUGGGACUGAGACACGGCCCAGACUCCUACGGGAGGCAGCAGUGGGGAAUCUUGCGCAAUGGGCG